UAAAUUCUCAAAGUCUUCCCUCAGUGACAUACUUCCUCCAGCAGCCAGGAGCCCUGGAUGGUCGUGACUAUAGAUGACAUUCAGGUUAUGAGGAGAUCCUGAGAUUUGAAUUGAAGUCUUGCCAAGGCUAAGCACUCCAGUUAUCCCAGCACAACUUGUCCAGGAUGAUGAUGCAGAUUAAGCCAGUCUUGAAAAGGCAGAAUUGGUGAAACACUCUUGGAAGAGAUGAUGGCUUUGUUCUUGCCAAGCUGUCCCUAGAAUGGAUCUGACUUCUGAGACUGGAGUGCUGAGGUUUAAACUGAGGCUUUGUGAAUGUUAGUAUGGGACCUGGGACACAGAAAGCAGCAUCCAGGACCAAGUAGACAGUGAGCUUAGAUGUUUGAGUGUCUUCAGAAGCUCCAGAAGCCAUCAAAAACAGCAAACACCACUUGCCAGAACAAGAUGAGGGGUUCUGCAUGCUUUCUGCCACAGCUCAGCUGUGGCAAGGAGAGUGCAGUCAGCCAGGAUGCUCUGAGAGCCAGAGAGACAUGGCUUGAGGCUGCAUUCAACCUUGACAAGCCAAGCAGAGAUGCCACGAAGUGAGACAGGUGAACUGCAGGCAGUGGCUUGGAGAGCAGCAGCAGAAACUUCAGAACCUAGUGGCCAGAGCAGGUCUGUCACCCAGCGCCAGAAUUUCCGGUGGCCAAAGCCCAGCAAAGACUCCUCAGGAGAGACUAAAGGCAAGCAGCAGUGAGCAGCAGAAGCCUUGCAGAGAGACUGCUGACCCAGGCAGAGAAGCAGCAGUAGCAGCAGCUUGAUAAGAAGCACCCAGAUGAGCAACUUCAACCCAAGAGCCCAAGGACCUGUGGAGGUGAGAGCUGUGCUCUAGGUUGAACAGUCAAAUCGGGGCUCUGUGGGAACUGCUGAUACUGACGCAGCCCUAGCUCUCAGCAGCAGAAUGUGGGGCCCUGAAGCAGCAUUUGGCUUUGCAAACAAGGCAGCACACAGAGGACUUGAAGGCCACCGGCAGAUCAGGUAACAGAGCCGGGGUGCAGCAGCCAUGACUGACCAUGACUGGGAUUCCUCCCAGAGCCAGGGUUGCUGUAUGAAUGCCAUGGCUCAUAGCAACUGGGAGGAACCUUGAGCUCCUGGGGUGAGAGGCAUUUGAGAGCCUCUGGCCCCAGGAAUAGGACUGAAAAAAAAAAAAAGAGCAAGAUAAAGGCUUUGCUGCUAUUUGGUAUUCAAUAACUGGGACUGUGAAAGCCAACAGUCAAAGUGGUGCAGUUUCUGUUUGCUGGCUGUAAGAAGGUCUCUGAGAGAAUUCAAAGAUUUCUAUUGUGGAGCUAACAGCUUUAGCCCUGGAGCAAAUUGUCUAAGGGGAAGGCUACAGACUGCAAAGCACAGCUGUAGCUGAGAGCAAAAGUUUCAGAGAUGCUGGUUUGAACUGGGGUUGUUGGACACCAGGGAACUGCAAAAGGUUAUGAUAGUUGGGACAGUUAUACAAAGAUUUCAGGGCAGCUGAUGAGCCAGGCCCUGAUUUUGAACAUUUAAUGGAACUUUAAGACUGGUAUCAGAACUAAGUUUUUAAACUUUUCAGACUUAAGAAAUAGGAUGGAUAGGAGUGAUUCAGUUGCAAUGGGACAAUUUUGACUUUACCUACACAUAUAGAUUCUACCAACUGUGAUGAUUUAUGAGUUGUUUUGUGUAUACAUAUAUGCUUUAUUAACUGUGGUGACUCAUGAAUUGUUUUGUGUAGAAAUUAACCUUUUGUGUAAAAAUAGAACUGCUUGGUAUAGGUAUAGACAAAUUGUUUUUUCCAUACAGGCUCAAGAUGCAGCUUCAAAAAUUAUUUUAAAAAGGGGGGUGAGUUAAUAUUCCUGAGUCUCUUUAAUUUAAAAAAAAAAUAUUUCUUGUCCCUUGCUUGGACUAAUGUUAACUUGUGUUAAUGUACCCUAUGUUUUGUUGCAAAAAAUACAAAUAGUUCUUUUAAGAGAUUGUUUUUGGAUGUUUGCUAAAGUUUGUAAAGUAUAAAUAGUUCUAUUAAAACUUUGCUUUUGGAUAUGUUUAUAAAAA